UGGUCAAGUUAUUAAGGGUGCAGGGCGGAUGCCUUGGCACUAGGAGCCGAUGAAGGACGUGAUAAGCUGCGAUAAGCUUCGGGGAGUUGCACGUAAACUUUGAUCCGAAGAUUUCCGAAUGAGGAAACUCACUUAGAGUAAUGUCUAAGUAUCAUUAAGUGAAUACAUAGCUUAAUGAGGGGAACUCAGGGAACUGAAACAUCUAAGUACCUGAAGGAAGAGAAAGAAAUUCGAUUCCGUAAGUAGCGGCGAGCGAACGCGGAUUAGCCCAAACCAAUAAAGUUUUCUUUAUUGGGGUUGCGGACAUAUCAUAACGAAGAGGUAUCGUAAUUGAAGAGGUUUGGAAAGACCCACCACAGAAGGUAAUAGUCCUGUAUGUUAAACGAGAAGACUUUAGAUAUGAUCCAGAGUACCACGGGACACGU
rnacentral:rRNA from 1 species